rnacentral:misc_RNA from 1 species
AACGCACCUUGCGCUCCUUGGUAUUCCGAGGAGCAUGCCUGUUUGAGUGUCAUUAAUAUAUCAAUCUCUUCAGCUUUUGCUUGUUGAGUGUUGGAUGUGGGGGCCUUUUUGCUGGUCUUUUAAAAGAGAUCAGCUCCCCUAAAAUGCAUUAGCGGAACAUUUUGUUGACCGUUCAUUGGUGUGAUAAUUAUCUACGCUAUUGACGUGAGGCAGUUCAGCUUCUAACAGUCCAUUGACUUGGACAAUUUUCAUUAAUGUGACCUCAAAUCAGGUAGGACUACCCGCUGAACUUAA